rnacentral:rRNA from 1 species
GAUGAACGCUGGCGGCGUGCCUAAUACAUGCAAGUCGAGCGAACGGACGAGAAGCUUGCUUUUCUGAUGUUAGCGGCGGACGGGUGAGUAACACGUGGAUAACCUACCUAUAAGACUUGGAUAACUUCGGGAAACCGGAGCUAAUACCGGAUAAUAUUUUGAACCGCAUGGUUCAAAAGUGAAAGACGGUCUUGCUGUCACUUAUAGAUGGAUCCGCGCUGCAUUAGCUAGUUGGUAAGGUAACGGCUUACCAAGGCAACGAUGCAUAGCCGACCUGAGAGGGUGAUCGGCCACACUGGAACUGAGACACGGUCCAGACUCCUACGGGAGGCAGCAGUAGGGAAUAUUCCGCAAUGGGCGAAAGCCUGACGGAGCAACGCCGCGUGAGUGAUGAAGGUCUUCGGCUCGUAAAACUCUGUUAUUAGGGAAGAACAUAUGUGUAAGUAACUGUGCACAUCUUGACGGUACCUAAUCAGAAAGCCACGGCUAACUACGUG